GGCAGCCGCGCGGCCCCCGGAGCGUCCGCGACGCAGGAAACUGCCCCGGCCGGUUUAAAAACAGCUGCUGGAGCUGCAGGUGCCGGGCUGAGCUUUCCGGGAGCGGAGCUCCGCUGGUGUGUCCGGGGAAGGGCAAGAAAGCCGGCGUAGGGUCUGGAGCAGAAGUGCGAUGAGAAGCGGCUGAGGGAGCUGGGAAUGCUCAGCCUGGAGAAAAGGAAGCUCAGAGGUGGCUUUAUCACUCUCUAGAACCCCCUGAAAGGAGGCUGCAGCCAAGUGGCCCCAUGUAACCAGCAUCAGGAGAAGAGGACAUAGUCUUUAGCUGGGCCAUGGAGGUUCAGGUUGGACAUUAGGAGGAAUUUCUUUGCAGAAAGGGUGAUUAGGCAUUGGAAUGCGCUUCCCAGAGAGGUGGUGGUGUUACUAUCCCUGAAGGUGUUUAGGAAAACACUGGAUGUGGCACGCAGUACCACGUUGUAGUUGGCAAUCUGGUGUUAGCUCAAAGGCUGAACUAGAUGAUCUCUCAACCUAAUUGAUUCUGAGAUUCUGUGACUCCUGGGAUCCCUACACCACGCCCCCAGGCCCUAUUCCCACCUAUUGUGAAAUUCACCUCUGCUGCCUGCAGCCAAGGUCCGCCUGGGUUCAAAGAUCAAGGAAGGCACCUUGGCCCCUGCGCCACUCAGCCUUCUCUGUACCGAGAGUAAUUUUGUCCUUCACACCAUGGACUAAAUAAAUACCUACAAAAGCUUCCCUGCAGCUGUACAGAUGCUCUUAGCUUCACUUGUGCCCCCAUGGAGGGAAAGGCCUUUCCCCAUGCAGGUGAUGUGCCUUGGUACCCCAAGAACAAUUUUCUCACCUUGUUAAUAAAAAUGAGAGAGGAACCAACAGGCGCCGGUGAUACAAUGUAUCCCACUGAAGAAGUAAGAAAUCGUGCCACUGACUGAUAUGAGUGUGACCUGCCUUUUUACACUUGUUGAUUCUGGAGGCCUGAAGGCAGAGAAACAAUCAGCAUUGUCAUACACAGUGGGAAAAUUCACCUAAAAAAGUAGCAUUUCAGUGUUCGGAUGAAAACCAAUCACGCUGCAAACCGGGAGGUUAUUUUCUGAGAACACUGUAGCAAGCUGUGUACAUCGAAGGCUAAAGCAAUGCUCAGAAGAGCUUAAAAAUGUUCUGUUGAAACAGUGAGCAUGAAAAUGGCAACAAAAAAGAAUUGGUGUUGGUCUGUUGAUCUGUGUGUGUUUAGUCCGUCCAAGGCCUAGGGAACUAGGUUCAGAAUGGUGACAUUCUGCAGAGGAAGACAGGAAAACUGGGCAAUGUCCAAAAUUAGUGUUUAACAGAUAUAUAGCCUAGGCAGAAUACUAAUAGCUGCAAAAUGAACAUUUAACAUAUGGAUAAAGUAAUGACUGGUUAGAGGGCUCCCAUUAGAGAUAUAAUAGGAAAUGUAAAUUAAUAUGAGAGCAAAUACCAUGCUAUAGAAGUGAAUAAACGUACCGAAGGAGAGCUAGAGCCUCGAUCCAAACUGCUGGAUCGUCCAACCGAACCAGCAUUAAGGCCCCUACGUGCAGCAAUUCCACUGCCAUCAGCCAUCCUGACCAAAACGAAGGCUGUGGCACAGCAGAUCCUGCGCUGAGCCCGCUGCAGAGCAAAGCUGAGCAGAUCCAGGGCCCUGCAGGAGGCACUUUGGGGCUGCUGGAUGAGCACUGGAUCCGUGGGGGUCAGCUGUGCUGCGGGAGCCCUGGCACGCCAGGAGAGAGCCGGUGUGAGAUGCAGGUUUUGAAGAAAGGAUCAAAAUAUCAGUUGCUGAAGAAAUAGAGACGGGAAGGGAAGUUGGCUGUUCCAAGUCUUGAUAGCCUUAAAAAUGUUUGAAAAAUUCUGCGUCGAAAGAGGGAAGGGCAAAGUGGUGCCACCUUCACAACCACAGCGUGGUGCAGGGUCAGAGCCUGUGCUGGUGGGCAUUGAACCGUGGCAGCGAAACUGGGCAGUUUAGUGAGAAAAAGCGUGAAGUUUAACGAGAAGAAAAUUUAUGAAAAUGGCAAUAAGCAGCUCUCUUCAUUGUUUACAGUGGAAGCCAGUUGUUUUUUACACUCUUUAUUAAUUUCUUCCUUGAAUACAGUGAAAAGGGUAGAUAUGAAAUUAAGAUAUCUUAAAAGUUCUUAAGUAAUUCAAAUUUUCAUAAUUUAAAUAUCAAAUUUAUUGAUAAAACUUUAAAAUGCAGAUCUAUAUCCAGAUUAUUUCCUGAAUUUAUACCUCAUUGAAGAAGAAAGCAACAGAACAUUAUGGACAGUUUCACAUGUUAAGAAAAAAUUCGUCAUGUACGUGAAAGUACCUUUUUAAAUGCAUAAUAUCUGUAGCUAUUAAACAAAAUUGAUUUAUUACACCAAUA